rnacentral:lncRNA from 1 species
CAACUUCCUUUAUUGCCAGAUUUCUUUUAAGAGUUCUUUAACUGUUCUUCCCUCUUUUAGAAGAAUGAAGUUAUUAGGCUCAUUGUUCAUAAUACAAAACUAGUAGGUAGAUAUUUCCAUAUCAAUAAAUCAUGACUUUCAUCAUAAGUUAUGGAAAAAGUCAUCAGGAAAAUGUAGAGCUAUUGAUGGUGACCCUUUAACUUGACAUGGAAAACAACAUGUAAAUGGACUGCUUCACACAAUCUGCAUAACACACUUGUCAAGAUGUACAAGUCUAUAGCAUGGAAACCUUACACAUGAUGUUCGAUGAUAAUAUUACUUCAAGAAACUAAAGAAAACUAAUCCUGAAUUCUACAAGACUACGUUGUCAAGAAUUCAUUGAAUGCAAUCAAGAAGUUGGAAAUUAAAUUGAAAAAGACAGCAAGUAUUUAUGAGAGGCUUCCACACCAAAUAAAUUGAAUUAAUGUAGAGCUUUUUCCAACACCUAUUGUGUUAGAAUUUCUUGAGCCCAAGUUAUUAAUGACAUCUGUGGGCAAUCUUGUCCCAAGCUAAAUUUAGCAGGCUCAGAUUAUCAUUAAUCAAGUCCAUGAAUAUCUCCAGUUAUAAUAGUACAAAGUAAUGCUUAACACAGCUAAGCUGGACACCUAAGAACAGAUACGUAGGUGAUGAUUUUACAGAAUAACAAGUCAAGGACUCGAGAAAAGGGGAAAAGAGAUACUUUGAGAAUCCACUGAAGCAGAAGUUCCUGAGUACAGUGUUAACUAUGAAGAUAGGCAACUAGAAUUAACAGACUAAACUGAUAAUUCAGAAAGUUUGACAUUGCUUCUUUUGAGCAAAGACUGCAUCAUCCUGUAUUCUAGGGGAUAUACAAGAACAGUAACAAAUUAAUCAGAAAUUUCAGCUGGAUACUAAUCAGAACAGAUUUCCAGUAUGGACAGUAUAGAAAGGACUUUUAAAAUUCUCAACGUUUUUUUCAGCUCAGAGCCAUACCCUCAUCUUUAAAAAUAAGUACUAGUCGAUUGAGACCAGUUGAUUCCCAUUUUGUUGAGACAGAACUCACUAAAUUGGGUUUGUCCUACUGGCUUAGCAGUUGCCCUAGAUACAACAAAACUCAUUAAAUGGGAGAAGAGCCACGUGGAGAGAUACUUUUUCUAAAGGUAUUGCUGACCUUAGCCACUGUCUGAAGCAGUGUCUUAGGACAUUUGUUCAUCAAAUAUCAUAUAGUGUUGUUAAAAGACUGAAGGACUCUUCUUCAGCACCAAAGUGUUAAUUUGGUUUUGGGUUUUUUGGUUUUGGUUUGUUUUUUAAGUACCUUUUUCUUAUUGUUAGGAUCUGGAUUAGGUGAGAAGGAUGAAAUUGAUUGAGUAAGUGGCUCCAGUACCCAGCUGGCUAUAAGCUUGUAGGUGUUAGAAAAUUCUCCCAAAUAGUAUCUGAUCAUCUUGGGCUUAAUUUCUGCCUGACUGAAAGUCUUGCCAUUUUAGACAUCCACCAUACUUCCCACUAUCUUUGGCAGGAUAAUCAUAUGUCAAAGGUGUACCUUCACUAUCUUGGGCUUUCUAUGGGAAGUGUCUCUUUGUUGGCCUUCCUCAGGUAUUUCAGGAUGGAAUGCUGUUUGUGCCACAGACCCUAAUUGAAUCAGUAGUGCUAUCAAGCACUAUACAACUGCAUAAGUUGUUCAUAAAAUAUGUUCAGCAACUUAUCCAGGUCUAUACUGUGGUAGGUGAACUUCGAAAAGGUUUCCUUCUUUUGCUCCAGUUUUGUCAUCUUGUCUACUGUCAGGAAAAAACUGCUUUCCUCAAAUGUUAUUUUGGACUAAAUGUCUAAAUAGUCAAUUAUCACCUUAAAGCACUAUAUAAUUAAAUAUUUUAUAAGGUCAUGUUUAUCGUUGACCCCAUGAAAUUCUUCGAAGGAUUUUGUUUUAUGUUUUGCACCAAUUCUGCUAGGAAGAAAGAAAAGAAAAUAUUCAAUUUGCUAGUAUUAUGAAAUUGUGAUUUGCCUCCAAUCUGGCAGAAAGCUGGAAUCCAGGAAAACCAUUUAGAUAUGUAGUGAACUUACAUAUUUUGAUAAAGGAACAUGCUAUAUUAAUAUAUUCUGAGAUAGAGGAAGUUGAGAUGGGUCUUGGAUAGAUAAUUUCUUCUGGAGAGAGAAACCAUAUAAAUGUGAAAAAUGUGGCAGGCAUCUGAGCCCUGAUACUAAUGCUAAACCUAAAUGGUCUUUAUUAGUCUUUAUAAGUUUGCAUCUUUCUUUAAUAGAAAAUGAUUUUAUCCAAAGAUAAUAGCAGUCAACAGUAAGCUACCUUUAGAAAACCUAAAAUAGAUGCUUGAAAGAAAGCUGCUUCUGGACCCUACAUGUAUUUUCCUAAUGCAGUCUUUUUUUUCUAUGGAAUGAUAGAUUUAACUGGAUUAAAUAAGGCUUUGGAGCAAACGAAUUAAUACUACAAAGGUGAAACAAACACAUAGCUGAAAUUUGAGAUAACUGAUCUGAAGCAUUUACUUUCCAAAAGUAUCUUAGUGAAUUUAGAAACCUCAAACUUUAAACAAUCAGUAAGAGAAAGAAUGAGACUAUAAGGAUAUAACAAUGUAGAACUUUUAAAAAUUACAAAUGUUGAGUGUUUUAUGUAACCUGUACAGUACUUGUACUUCUGUAACUUGUAACCAGAAUGUCAGGAUCUGUUUUGUAUCAUUCUUCUGUUAGCCCCAUGGGGUCAAGGUCUGUAUAGUUUUUGUUUUGUUUUGUUUAAUUCUGUUAAGACAGCAUUCCCUUUUCUCCUCAUCUUGUUCCCCAAAAUUUUAACAUCAGAGAGGUUUGGAGCAGUGAAGAAAAAAUUGGUGUGAUUGUAGACAAUAAGACAUGACACUCAAUGGGGGCAGUUUUUGUUGAGUUAUUUUUCAGUCCUAUCUGACUCUUUAUGAUCCCAUGUGGAGUUUUCUUGAAUACUAAAGUGGUUUGCCAUUUCCUUCUCCAACUCAUUUUACAGAUGAGGAACUGAAGCAAACAGAGUUUGCCCAGGGUCACACAGCUAGUAAAUGUCCGAGACCAGAUUUGAACUCAUAAAAUGAGUGUUCCCGAGUUCAGGCCUGUCACUUUAUCGACUAUGCCAUCUAGCUGCCCCUUCAUGGAAGUAAAGAAGUUAAAAUAAGCAAGAGCUUAAUAAUAUUUGUUGUCAGUCAAGUUAGGGAGACUGAUAAAGCUCUAUAAAAUGGCCAGAUUUGACUGGUAAUUAAAUAGGAGUAAUUUCUUUGUCUCAGCAGAAGUCAGAUUUUUAAUUACCAGUAGAUGAAGUGUGUCUUUUGAUGACUUGCUGGGGAAAGGUGAGAAAAAGUCCAAUAAUUUCUUAUUUCUGCUUAAAGAAUUUUAGAUUAAAACAUGAUCCUUAUGCAGCUGCCAUCAGACUUUUAGAGAAGGCUUCAAAAGUUAUUUUGCAAGGUUUCCUUAUGGACAUACUGAGAAUAUUGCAUAUUGGAAAUGAACAGGAAAAUGCCACGGGGGAGGGUUAGGUGUGUAAGUUUUAUUUUCACUUUUACUGGUUGUUUACUUAAAAAAUUUGGGAUUAAUCUUCAUUACAGCAGUCAAUCAAGCCGGAGUUUGUUAGCUAUUCAAACUCAAAUAAGCUCUUUGUUCCUAGGCAAACUUAAAAGAGAAUUGGUUUAUAAACCAAAGUACAAAUUUAAAUUUUUCAUCAUUCUUUGCCUUUGCUGGAGGAACCAUAUUUUGAUGUGUACCAAUUUUUGUUCUAAGCAGAAUAGGUUUAUGUAAAGGAUCUUUACAUCCAAGAUCUCUGGGUGGCUUCUGAUUUAUCGCUCAGCUUAGUUAUUAUGUGUUUUAAUCUGACAAAUUUUUUCCAAGCAAUAAAUAUAGAAAAUAUGUCAAAUAUUUCAAAGCAAUUAUUUGAUAAUUUCCUGCAAUGUCUGAAAACAAUUUAUCAAAUUGUUUAUUUAUUUGAUAAAUUUAUCAAAGUACAUUUUUUCAGUUAAAUUUACAAAUUUUUCAGCUCACAGCAAGUUUUUAAAUUAUUUAAAGCAAGUCCGUUUAAUCUAUUUUUUUUUUCUUCAGCAUCAAACAUCCACAUGUUCUAUUCAGUUCAUUGUAUGACCUUGGGCAAAUUGCUUAAUUUGGUUUCUUCUGUAAAAUGAAGGGAUUGGAAUAGAGGAACUUAAGUUUUUCUAUUUGUUUUCUAGUAAAGAGUGAAAUUGUAGAAUAUCUGUUGCAACUCCACAAAAUCUUCAUGAUUUUUUUGAGAAAUUUGCCCCUAUACUGGUUAUUAUAUCACUGAUAACAUUCAUUGAUCUCUAGAUAGAACUUUUUCUUUCUUUCUGCAGUUACUUAACUGCUUAUACUUCUUUAGAGGAAUAAAGCUGAAGACAUUCAGAGGGAAAGAAUUUUAUGAAUGAUUGAAAACAUGUAUUUUCACCCUUAUGUGGAUUCUCUAUUUUGAGCCUCAAUCACCAUUAAAUCUAGAAGAAUACAACUAGCCAGCUGGUACGGCUCCAGUUCACCAUCUUUCACAAGGAUGGAGAUCUACCUGGAGAACCAACAACCCAGCAUGCUGAUUUUACCUGGGGGGGGUGAGGGGGGGGUGGUGUUAAGGUGAGAACUGAAAUGAAAUUCAAUGGCAUUUGGGAGCAAGUGAAAGAAUGAAUGUAAGCUUUUUAAAAUUUAAACAUUUAAUUUGCCUUCUGCCCUAAUUAGUUACAGGCAGCCAGAUGUUUUAAAUAUGUUGACCUUUAUACUGGCAAAAGCUAAAACGUUUGGUAUAAUCUUUUGCAGUUACUAGUGUUUGCAAAACAAAAAGUGGGGUAAGGGAGAGGGAAAAGAGGAUGGGUGAGUUAAAAUUCUUGGUUUUCAUAUGUGUGUGAUGAUUGGGGUAGGAGGGUAUACAGGUAAGAUCCAGUAAUUAUUUUUAAAAUAAGUUUAUUUUUUAAUUUUAGACAUAUACACACUUUUAGCUUAGUAAUGGGAAGCCUAAUAUAUUGAUUUAUGGGAUUAUUUGAAGAUUUGUCUUAAUUUGUACUUUUAGAUUAAAAUUUUUCUGCUUUUUCAAUCCCCAGUUUUGCAAUUUAGACUAAAUCCAAAGUAAGAAAGACAUUAAUUUACAGAAGAAGCUGCAGUAGGAUCUAAAGAAUACAGGUGCUUAAUAUGUACUUUCUACAUAUUUAAUUAGUUCACCAAUGUUGAGUUUCUUUAAAUCUGCAUGAUUGAGUAC